rnacentral:tRNA from 1 species
AAGCUAUUAAUUCAAUUGAAUUUA